rnacentral:rRNA from 1 species
GUGACAGCCGCCGCGGUAAUACGUAGGCAGCAAGCGUUGUUCGGAGUUACUGGGCGUAAAGGGUGUGUAGGCGGUUGUUUAAGUUUGGUGUGAAAUCUCCCGGCUCAACCGGGAGGGUGCGCCGAAUACUGAAUGACUUCGAGUGCGGGAGAGGAGAGUGGAAUUCCUGGUGUAGCGGUGAAAUGCGUAGAUAUCAGGAGGAACACCGGUGGUGUAGACGGCUCUCUGGACCGUAACUGACGCUGAGACACGAAAGCGUGGGUAGCAAACAGGAUUAGAUACCCUGGUAGUCC